rnacentral:rRNA from 1 species
UUCGUCGGCAGCGUCAGAUGUGUAUAAGAGACAGUGCUGUGAGCUCGAUGAGUAGGGCGGGACACGUGGUAUCCUGUCUGAAUAUGGGGGGACCAUCCUCCAAGGCUAAAUACUCCUGACUGACCGAUAGUGAACCAGUACCGUGAGGGAAAGGCGAAAAGAACCCCGGCGAGGGGAGUGAAAAAGAACCUGAAACCGUGUACGUACAAGCAGUGGGAGCACGCUUAGGCGUGUGACUGCGUACCUUUUGUAUAAUGGGUCAGCGACUUAUAUUCUGUAGCAAGGUUAACCGAAUAGGGGAGCCGAAGGGAAACCGAGUCUUAACUGGGCGUUAAGUUGCAGGGUAUAGACCCGAAACCCGGUGAUCUAGCCAUGGGCAGGUUGAAGGUUGGGUAACACUAACUGGAGGACCGAACCGACUAAUGUUGAAAAAUUAGCGGAUGACUUGUGGCUGGGGGUGAAAGGCCAAUCAAACCGGGAGAUAGCUGGUUCUCCCCGAAAGCUAUUUAGGUAGCGCCUCGUGAAUUCAUCUCCGGGGGUAGAGCACUGUUUCGGCAAGGGGGUCAUCCCGACUUACCAACCCGAUGCAAACUGCGAAUACCGGAGAAUGUUAUCACGGGAGACACACGGCGGGUGCUAACGUCCGUCGUGAAGAGGGAAACAACCCAGACCGCCAGCUAAGGUCCCAAAGUCAUGGUUAAGUGGGAAACGAUGUGGGAAGGCCCAGACAGCCAGGAUGUUGGCUUAGAAGCAGCCAUCAUUUAAAGAAAGCGUAAUAGCUCACUGGUCGAGUCGGCCUGCGCGGAAGAUGUAACGGGGCUAAACCAUGCACCGAAGCUGCGGCAGCGACGCUUAUGCGUUGUUGGGUAGGGGAGCGUUCUGUAAGCCUGUGAAGGUGUGCUGUGAGGCAUGCUGGAGGUAUCAGAAGUGCGAAUGCUGACAUAAGUAACGAUAAAGCGGGUGAAAAGCCCGCUCGCCGGAAGACCAAGGGUUCCUGUCCAACGUUAAUCGGGGCAGGGUGAGUCGACCCCUAAGGCGAGGCCGAAAGGCGUAGUCGAUGGGAAACAGGUUAAUAUUCCUGUACUUGGUGUUACUGCGAAGGGGGGACGGAGAAGGCUAUGUUGGCCGGGCGACGGUUGUCCCGGUUUAAGCGUGUAGGCUGGUUUUCCAGGCAAAUCCGGAAAAUCAAGGCUGAGGCGUGAUGACGAGGCACUACGGUGCUGAAGCAACAAAUGCCCUGCUUCCAGGAAAAGCCUCUAAGCAUCAGGUAACAUCAAAUCGUACCCCAAACCGACACAGGUGGUCAGGUAGAGAAUACCAAGGCGCUUGAGAGAACUCGGGUGAAGGAACUAGGCAAAAUGGUGCCGUAACUUCGGGAGAAGGCACGCUGAUAUGUAGGUGAAGUCCCUCGCGGAUGGAGCUGAAAUCAGUCGAAGAUACCAGCUGGCUGCAACUGUUUAUUAAAAACACAGCACUGUGCAAACACGAAAGUGGACGUAUACGGUGUGACGCCUGCCCGGUGCCGGAAGGUUAAUUGAUGGGGUCAGCGCAAGCGAAGCUCUUGAUCGAAGCCCCGGUAAACGGCGGCCGUAACUAUAACGGUCCUAAGGUAGCGAAAUUCCUUGUCGGGUAAGUUCCGACCUGCACGAAUGGCGUAAUGAUGGCCAGGCUGUCUCCACCCGAGACUCAGUGAAAUUGAACUCGCUGUGAAGAUGCAGUGUACCCGCGGCAAGACGGAAAGACCCCGUGAACCUUUACUAUAGCUUGACACUGAACAUUGAGCCUUGAUGUGUAGGAUAGGUGGGAGGCUUAGAAGUGUGGACGCCAGUCUGCAUGGAGCCGACCUUGAAAUACCACCCUUUAAUGUUUGAUGUUCUAACGUUGACCCGUAAUCCGGGUUGCGGACAGUGUCUGGUGGGUAGUUUGACUGGGGCGGUCUCCUCCUAAAGAGUAACGGAGGAGCACGAAGGUUGGCUAAUCCUGGUCGGACAUCAGGAGGUUAGUGCAAUGGCAUAAGCCAGCUUGACUGCGAGCGUGACGGCGCGAGCAGGUGCGAAAGCAGGUCAUAGUGAUCCGGUGGUUCUGAAUGGAAGGGCCAUCGCUCAACGGAUAAAAGGUACUCCGGGGAUAACAGGCUGAUACCGCCCAAGAGUUCAUAUCGACGGCGGUGUUUGGCACCUCGAUGUCGGCUCAUCACAUCCUGGGGCUGAAGUAGGUCCCAAGGGUAUGGCUGUUCGCCAUUUAAAGUGGUACGCGAGCUGGGUUUAGAACGUCGUGAGACAGUUCGGUCCCUAUCUGCCGUGGGCGCUGGAGAACUGAGGGGGGCUGCUCCUAGUACGAGAGGACCGGAGUGGACGCAUCACUGGUGUUCGGGUUGUCAUGCCAAUGGCACUGCCCGGUAGCUAAAUGCGGAAGAGAUAAGUGCUGAAAGCAUCUAAGCACGAAACUUGCCCCGAGAUGAGUUCUCCCUGCUGUCUCUUAUACACAUCUG